UGAACGCUGGCGGCAGGCCUAACACAUGCAAGUCGCGCGGAUGAAGGGAGCUUGCUCCUGGAUUCAGCGGCGGACGGGUGAGUAAUGCCUAGGAAUCUGCCUGGUAGUGGGGGAUAACGUCCGGAAACGGGCGCUAAUACCGCAUACGUCCUGAGGGAGAAAGUGGGGGAUCUUCGGACCUCACGCUAUCAGAUGAGCCUAGGUCGGAUUAGCUAGUUGGUGGGGUAAAGGCCUACCAAGGCGACGAUCCGUAACUGGUCUGAGAGGAUGAUCAGUCACACUGGAACUGAGACACGGUCCAGACUCCUACGGGAGGCAGCAGUGGGGAAUAUUGGACAAUGGGCGAAAGCCUGAUCCAGCCAUGCCGCGUGUGUGAAGAAGGUCUUCGGAUUGUAAAGCACUUUAAGUUGGGAGGAAGGGCAGUAAGUUAAUACCUUGCUGUUUUGACGUUACCAACAGAAUAAGCACCGGCUAACUUCGUG
rnacentral:rRNA from 1 species